AAAUUGAAGAGUUUGAUCAUGGCUCAGAUUGAACGCUGGCGGCAGGCCUAACACAUGCAAGUCGAACGGUAACAGGAAGCAGGUUGCUGCUUCGCUGACGAGUGGCGGACGGGUGAGUAAUGUCUGGGAAACUGCCUGAUGGAGGGGGAUAACUACUGGAAACGGUAGCUAAUACCGCAUAAUGUCGCAAGACCAAAGAGGGGGACCUUCGGGCCUCUUGCCAUCGGAUGUGCCCAGAUGGGAUUAGCUUGUUGGUGGGGUAACGGCUCACCAAGGCGACGAUCCCUAGCUGGUCUGAGAGGAUGACCAGCCACACUGGAACUGAGACACGGUCCAGACUCCUACGGGAGGCAGCAGUGGGGAAUAUUGCACAAUGGGCGCAAGCCUGAUGCAGCCAUGC
rnacentral:rRNA from 1 species